rnacentral:rRNA from 1 species
AUUGAACGCUGGCGGCAUGCCUUACACAUGCAAGUCGAACGGCAGCGGGGGAGAAGCUUGCUUUUCCUGCCGGCGAGUGGCGAACGGGUGAGUAAUACAUCGGAACGUGCCCUGUAGUGGGGGAUAACUAGUCGAAAGAUUAGCUAAUACCGCAUACGACCUGAGGGUGAAAGUGGGGGACCGCAAGGCCUCAUGCUAUAGGGGCGGCCGAUGUCUGAUUAGCUAGUUGGUGGGGUAAAGGCCUACCAAGGCGACGAUCAGUAGCUGGUCUGAGAGGACGAUCAGCCACACUGGGACCGAGACACGGCCCAGACUCCUACGGGAGGCAGCAGUGGGGAAUUUUGGACAAUGGGCGAAAGCCUGAUCCAGCAAUGCCGCGUGUGUGAAGAAGGCCUUCGGGUUGUAAAGCACUUUUGUCCGGAAAGAAAUGGCUCUGGUUAAUACCUGGGGUCGAUGACGGUACCGGAAGAAUAAGGACCGGCUAACUACGUGCCAGCCGCCGCCGUAA